UACGUAGGGGGCAAGCGUUAUCCGGAUUUAUUGGGCAUAAAGGGCGUGUAGGUGGUACCUUAAGUCAGUUGUUAAAUGCAUAGGCUUAACUUAUGUUUGCGACUGAAACUGAGGUACUAGAGGUUAGUAGAGGAAAGCGGAACUCACAGUGUAGCGGUGAAAUGCGUAGAUAUUGUGAGGAACACCAGUUGCGAAGGCGGCUUUCUGGACUGAUCCUGACACUGAGGCGCGAAAGCGUGGGGAGCAAACGGG
rnacentral:rRNA from 1 species